UUCUCUCUAACUUGUCUCUAAAAAUUUUCAACCAUUUUCCUCCUCAAAAGUUCUUGGAGACCACUAUUCCAAGUUCUUUAGAAUCCUAGAGAAUAACAAGGUAACUUUGUUAGUGGUGUCCUUCAUUGGAAAGGUUUGAGAUCGUUGAUAACGGUAGAAGAGGAAAGUUAGAAGAAUCAAGAAAAGUUAUCCUUCGAACAAAUUUGUUGUACAGUGGUAUCGUUAUUUUCUUCAAGAUCAUGAGUGUCGAAAAGCUCAGGUAUCUUAAAUCCUUUUUGAGAUUCUAAUGUAAGUAUCAUUAUCAAGAGAUCCAUAUAAAUAUGUUGCGAUAAAAUCUAUAAGAUGCAUGUCCAAACUUUCAUACACGGUCAGACCAACUAAAAAUCUUAAUGUAAUUGCAUCUACCACUAGAGAAUAUGUCUCCUUAUAAUUAAUACCAGGUUUUUGUGAAAAACUUAUUGCAACUAGUCUUGUUUUAUAUCUUGCAACUUCAUUACUUUUAUUUCUUUUUCUCACAAAUACUCAUUUGUAUCCCUCGGGUUUCACACCUUCUAGUGUUCAAACUACUGGUCCAAAAACCUGACAUUUUAAAAGUGGGUUUAAUUCUACUUUGAUUGUUUCUUUCUGCUGAAGCCAAUCUUUUCUAUGUCGACAAUCUUAAACAAAUUUUAGUUCAAGAACUUUAUUUUUAGAUAUAAUAUCAAGAGCAACAUUAUACGUAAAAAUAUUUUCAAUAACUACAUUAGUUUGGUUCCAUAUUUUUCCUGUCAUGACAUAGUUUAUUGAAAUGUCAUUAUUAUCUUUAAGUAUUUCAUUUUCACUACCCCUACUAUAGUCACGUCUAAGGUUUCUUCAUAGAUAUUUACAUCCUCAACCAAGUCCUUUUGAUUAUUAAUUAUUUUUCUUUUUCAAGGAUUUUUAUCUCUAAAACCCGUUGGUCUACCAUGCUUCUGAUGUGUUCCAGAUUCAUUAGUGAAAACUUGUUGUGUUGGGAUAUCAAUUUUUUAUGGAACAUUUGUAGCUGAUAUAUGUGACUUAGUUACUUCAUUGCAUCUAUAA